rnacentral:siRNA from 1 species
CUUAAGCGCGCGACCUAUACCC